GAGUUUGAUCAUGGCUCAGAGUGAACGCUAGCGGCGUGGUUCAGACAUGCAAGUCGAACGCUCUCGCAAGAGAGAGUGGCGAACGGGUGAGUAACACGUGAACAAUUUACCUUCAAAUUGGGGAUAGCCUUCCGAAAGGGGGGGUAAUACCGAAUGUGGCGCUGUGUCGCAUGACAUGGGAGCUAAAGGCGGGGACCGCAAGGCCUGCCGUUUGAAGAUGAGUUCGCGGCCUAUCAGCUAGUUGGCGGGGUAACGGCCCACCAGGGCGAAGACGGGUAGCUGUUCUGAGAGGAUGAUCAGCCACACUGGAACUGAGAUACGGUCCAGACACCUACGGGUGGCAGCAGUUUCGAAUUAUUUGCAAUGGGGGCAACCCUGACAGUGCAACGCCGCGUGAGGGAUGAAGGUCUUCGGAUCGUAAACCUCUGUCACCGGACAUUAAUGUGCGUUUGUUAAUAGCAGACGUAUUGAAAAUCCGGAGAGGAAGCAGUGGCUAACUCCGUGCCAGCAGCCGCGGUAAUACGGAGACUGCAAGCGUUACUCGGAAUCACUGGGCGUAAAGGGUGCGUAGGUUGUUGGGUGUGACUGACGUGAAAUCCCAGGGCUUAACCCUGGAACUGCGUUGGUUCC
rnacentral:rRNA from 1 species